UCGCGAUAUUUUCAACCACGAUAAUUGUAACGAAGGUAGAAACUUGAGCGACGAUAUAUCGAAAUUAUCGUCAUGCUCGAUGACUAUCGUGAUAUUGCUUCGCAUGUGUGUAUAUAGCUUUUAUAAAAUCCUAAAAACUUCUUUGAAUUCCUAGAAAAUAUAGUUUUUAAAAGAAUUAAAACUAUUUCCUGAAUUAAAUAUGAAUUUAAUACAAUAUUAAAGCUAAUAUUUAUGUAUUAAUCCGCUGAACAAUGAAAUUGCAUGCUAUGUAUGCGCUGUGUGCCCACGGCAUUUGUGCCUGCGGAAACACAGUAGACACUGCAUAGACAGUUCAAGUUUAUGAACAGUAAAUAUUAGACAAGAAAAAGCCUGCUUAUUACUUUAAUUUGUUGUUUUAUUUGUCAUUGUUUUUAUAGCAUUUAUCGCGAUAUUAUCGAAUAUCGUGAUAAUUUCCUCGACAAUAAUCGUGAGAUGAUUUUUUUAAUAUCGCCCAACCCUAAGCAUUAUUUUGGUUACAUACAGUAAUGUAAAACGUUUUUCCGCUGACCGGCAGGUAUUGAAAGUAGCCGAUACUAGCAAUUUAAGUACUCACUUCCGGUAUCGAAAAUUGAAAUUUUGUGUUUAUUUUGGUAUCGGCCGAUACCGAUCUUAAAAGUAUCGGUAUCGGUAUCGAAUUAAAAAUCCUGGUAUCGCCCAUCACUAUCGUCAAGUGUCCUGUUAUGGAAUGCGCCUCUACUCUUGGUCGCCUUGUAUAUAUUUUCAGUCGAAAUUGUAACAAUUUUGGCGACUUGCCCAUACUUGCGUUUAAAACAACAUUUACAAAGACGACAAAAAUCGUCCACACACAAUUCGUUCGG